UCGAGAAUCUUUCGCAAUGGACGAAAGUCUGACGAAGCGACGCCGUGUGUGUGAUGAAGGCCUUCGGGUUGUAAAGCACUUUCGCUUGAGAACAAGAAAGACUGGCUAACAUCCAGUCAAUUUGAGGGUAUCAGGUAAAGAAGGACCGGCUAACUCCGUGCCAGCAGCUGCGGUAAUACGGAGGGUCCAAGCGUUAAUCGGAUUUAUUGGGCGUAAAGGGCGCGUAGGCGGAAAAAAAAGUUGGGUGUGAAAUCCCGGGGCUCAACCUCGGACGCGCACUCAAAACUCUUUUUCUAGAGGAUAAGCGGAGUAAAGGGAAUUCCACGUGUAGCGGUGAAAUGCGUAGAUAUGUGGAAGAACACCGGUGGCGAAGGCGCUUUUCUAGCUUAUUCCUGACGCU
rnacentral:rRNA from 1 species